rnacentral:rRNA from 1 species
CCUACGGGAGGCAGCAGUGGGGAAUAUUGGGCAAUGGAGGAAACUCUGACCCAGCGACGCCGCGUGCGGGAUGAAGGCCUUCGGGUUGUAAACCGCUUUCAGCAGGGAAGAAGCGAAAGUGACGGUACCUGCAGAAGAAGCACCGGCUAACUAUGUGCCAGCAGCCGCGGUAAUACAUAGGGUGCAAGCGUUGUCCGGAAUUAUUGGGCGUAAAGAGCUCGUAGGUGGUUCGUCACGUCGGAUGUGAAAAUCUGGGGCUUAACCCCAGACCUGCAUUCGAUACGGGCGAGCUUGAGUAUGGUAGGGGAGUCUGGAAUUCCUGGUGUAGCGGUGGAAUGCGCAGAUAUCAGGAGGAACACCAAUGGCGAAGGCAGGACUCUGGGCCAUUACUGACACUGAGGAGCGAAAGCGUGGGGAGCGAACAGGAUUAGAUACCCUGGUAGUCCACGCCGUAAACGGUGGGCACUAGUUGUGGGGACCUUCCACGGUCUCUGCGACGCAGCUAACGCAUUAAGUGCCCCGCCUGGGGAUACGAUCGCAAGAUUAAAACUCAAAUGAAUUGACGG